rnacentral:tRNA from 2 species
AUCUCUCUAGUAUUAAAGUUAGUACAAGUGACUUCCAAUCACACAGUCUUGGUUAAAUUCCAAGGAAAGAUA